GAUGAACGCUGGCGGCGUGCCUAAUACAUGCAAGUCGAGCGAACAGAUAAGGAGCUUGCUCCUUUGACGUUAGCGGCGGACGGGUGAGUAACACGUGGGUAACCUACCUAUAAGACUGGGAUAACUUCGGGAAACCGGAGCUAAUACCGGAUAACAUUUGGAACCGCAUGGUUCUAAAGUGAAAGAGGGGUUUGCUAUCACUUAUAGAUGGACCCGCGCCGUAUUAGCUAGUUGGUAAGGUAACGGCUUACCAAGGCGACGAUACGUAGCCGACCUGAGAGGGUGAUCGGCCACACUGGAACUGAGACACGGUCCAGACUCCUACGGGAGGCAGCAGUAGGGAAUCUUCCGCAAUGGGCGAAAGCCUGACGGAGCAACGCCGCGUGAGUGAUGAGGGGUUUCGGCUCGUAAAACUCUGUUAUUAGGGAAGAACAAAUGUGUAAGUAACUGUGCACGUCUUGACGGUACCUAAUCAGAAAGCCACGGCUAACUACGUG
rnacentral:rRNA from 1 species